CUUUAAAUAGGGAAAAAUAACCCAACGUUGGGUCAGUUAGCUGCAAUGAGAUAAACGCCUCCUCCAUCUGACUACUCUCCUUUUUCCUGCUGUCUCCAAUUUCAUGUGCUUUAUAUCUGCUCCCUUAACCUAAAGCUACCAUCAACACCACUACUACAAAACAGUAAGAAUGAACAUGAGCAUGUGCCCCUCUAGGCUUUCUGCCUAUAGAAAUAGGUACUAUUAUCAUUCCCGUUUUACAGAUGAGGAAAUAGCUUUAGCGAAUGUUGAGUAAAUGGCCCACCGUCACACACUAGUAAGAGUGGAAGAGCAGGGUCCAAACCCAGGGCGGUGCAAAGUUCACAUCUUUGAGGAAGUCUCAAAUGUUGACCAUUUGCUGACCUUCCCUGUAAUUAAACUGUUCAUUGAAGCGUGACUCCUCCCAUGCUCAUCUGCAUUUCCAUAAGGACUUGAUUAGAAUGUAAACACCAUCAGGGUAGAAAUUUGCUCUCUUUUGGUGAUAGCUGCAUCCCUGUGCUCAGCAGGCGGUAGACGGUCCAUGAUCAAAGUUGGUUUUAUGGGUCUUCCAGCAGGGCAGUGGCACAGGGCCCCCACUCGGAAGGGCUCUACACUUGCUUGGUGUUAUUGUUCUGUAGUCACCAUCUUGAAAUUCUUAGUGACUGUAUCUUUGAAUCUGUGUUUUGUGGAUGAAGUCUGAUGGAACAGUGGAGCAUGGGCGGGGCACUUUGAGGCUCGGCUCAGAUGUGGUCCCUCUUCCCACCACCUCCACACCGGCCGCCUCUCUGGGUUCUUGGCUGCACACUCCCCACCUGUAGUGCUCUGGGUGACAAGUAAGGUAGGUGGUCGGGGUAGGCAGACGGUGACUCUGGCCGAGGCAUGGAUGCCAAAAGGCUGCUGCUCGGUGCCUGUGCCCUGCAUCAUCUACUGGAUGGGCAUGGCAGCAGCCACCCCGCCCUGGACGGGCAGCUCCACAAAUGCAUUCAGUGGGUGACUCCACCAUGGCAAGCCUCUCACCACACCUGAUCCAGGAACCAAGUGCAUCCUGGUGUGGAGGCUGCAGUGCCUUUGGAAGACCUGCCUGUCCCCAGCCAGGGCCCAGCACAUCAGACGCAGCGCUACAUAGUGAGUCAUGGAAUGGGGCCCCAGGUUCCCGCAGAGAUCAGCAUUUCCCCAGGCGCAUCCGGUACCCAAGGGAGCAUGCCAUUAAAUGACAAAAUUAGAUCAGAUUAGUUUAAAUUAAAUUAACAACAUUAAAUAUACACUGUGAGAAAUAAGCCCACUGACCCAAUCAAAGAAGGGACGCAUAGACCCGCGGAGCACAGUGAAGUGAGACUUUCAUCAACGUCCUUGCAAGAGCGGGUGUCUGAUGCACAGGCACACUCAGGGCAGUUACAGCAGGCAAUUUAUCUCUUAGUGUGCAAGCCCCUCCCAUGGCUCCUCAUUGGCUGAGUACGACAGAGGUUACAGCCUUACCCGGAAGUCGCCUAUGCCUACGUAAGGCACAAAGUAGUCUGAUUGGAACAAAUGUACAUUACUUGAGGUGACACAGAGACUCCAGUUCUUUGGUGCGUGCUCGUUGCAAAGCCCGCAAAAAAUAAGCCCACGAAAUGGAGAAGGGGGAAAAAGAACCAGGAAGUGAAGUGUCUAAGUGUUUGGGACUCCACUGUUGGGGGCUGGGGUGUUUGUACGUAUUUCCAACAGGUUGUAAACCUAUUGUUAACUAGACAGCACAGGUUUUAUUUGGUAUUUCUGAAAAUGAGUCAUCUCACUGACUUCUCACACACAUUAAAUAAAACACGAUGACAUUUCAAGAGAGAAACCACAAAAGAAAAGGUUUAAUAUUUUAGUGUUUUUUAAUCGCAUUUUUUUCAUGCGUUUUGGAUGGGGGGGCCACACGUUUUCAUUUUGCAAAGGGCCUCACAAAUUAUGUAGCUGAUCUUGUCAAGAGUUAUGUAUUAUAUAUUAAUAAUUUGGACUCUUGGAAAUUAGAACUUUUAGGUCUCAAAGGAAUAAAGCAUGAAGAUCAAGAAACCGUGGCAUCUUGGACUGGAAGUUUUUCUUUCAGAUGAUAUUCCUAAUAUCAUGGAUGUUGGGGACAAUGGAUAAGACAAUAUGGAUAUUGGGGACAAUGGGUAAGAAAAUAGUAUAUACCCAAGAACUUCUUGGCAAUCAGAGCUAGCAUAGGCCAUCUACAGACACCUAAGUGAAAUCUCCCACAUGAUAACUGUGGCUUCCAUAGGCAAAUUAACCAGUAGACAUUUAUUAUUUAGCCAGUAAGGUCUUUGGGAGUCAAUGUGAUUGCUUUUUGGUAUGGUCGUGCCAUUUCCUAGUUGAGACCCAUUUCCCGUGACGCCCUAUUGUCUCACAUUUGACUGCUUUUCAAAUAUUCUCACGCUUGCACGUGUGAAGCCUGGCCCCUGGAACAUUUGUGUGUUUUACUCCUUUUUCCAGUAUCACAUGUGGGAAGAUCUGUCACACUUCCUUUUAGGGCUGCAAUUCUAUGAAUCUGUUACCAAAGAGAGUUCGCAAACACCAUUAUAUAUCUGAGGGAUGUAAUUAUUUAUUGUGGGGUGUGAUAUUUUUAUAUUUCCGUCUUCGCUACUGGACUAUGCACUUUAUGUAAGGACGCAUGCAUUAUUCAUGGUAGUCUAACUCCUGAAACAAGCCUCAACUCUCACAGUGGCUUAAAAUAAUAAGGGUAGGUUUUUUCGCACUCAUGUCUGGUCCAGUGGGAGUUAGUCAGGGCUGAUUUACUCCCCACAGUCAUUUAAGGUCUCAGGUUCUUCCAUCCUGUGAUCUCCUCAUCCCCUCCGUCCUCCAAAUCUUCUACUAGUUUAUCAGCAUUUGGCUGACAGACAAGGAAAAAUAGAGCCCGUUGGGGGAUUGUGAGAGAGGUUUUUAGGGGUCAGGCCUGGAAGUGACGCACAUCACUUCCACCCACAUUCUACUGGCUUACACCAUCACCUGACUCUACUUAACUGCAGGGAAGGUUGCCAGGCCUUUUCCUGGUAGUGAAGUCCUUUCUGAAAUUCAGAUAGGCAUGGGAUUUAAAUAUUUAAAUACAGGGAAUGGUCAGCGAAUGGUCUGUUUUUGAGCCUGUCAUCUACAUUUGAACUUAGCCUACCCUAAAGUUAAAUCCCACCCUGCAACUUUACUAGCUGUAUAAUCAAGGCAACUUACUUAUUUAAUCUUCUCUUAGCCUGUUUGCAUCUAGUUUUGUGCCUAGAAGAGAAAGAAGUAAACUUAACUGGGAUUGUUUUUUGUGGUUAUGGUGAAGACUGUGUGGUAUUUUCUUUAUGUAUGUGAUGACUGGCACCUCUGGAAGUAUUCAAAACAUAUUUUCCAAAUGAAGAAAUAAAUGAAGUGGGUUCGCUAGGAUGGGGUGGGUUCUGGGAGCAAAAGGAAAAUUCUGAUCUGGGUGGAUUUAAAAUGAGAGGAGGAGUGUUAUUUAGAAAAAAAAAGAAUUAUUCCAGGAGAUGACUGGAAUUAUUGAUUUGUGUUUGUCCUCUGAUCCAGUGACUAAGUGGGUAAUGUCGUAUUCAAACUCAACUUUCUCUACCCCCAUUUAUUUUUCUUCUUCUAGUGAAUUGUUUCUUCCCUUAUUAGACUCCUUUCUUCUUAUAUUUGUCCAUUCUCCAAAGAAUGUGCCAAAGGUUUUCCAAAUUCUGAUCCUGCUCUUUCCAGGGUGUCAUCAGUUGCCUUAAAAACACUCUGCAAGACAUUAGUGUCUCAGCAGAGCAUAAUAAACUUCAGCUUGGCUUUAGGACAAAAGCAGUGCCACACAAUGACGCAUCUUCCAUAAAAUAAGCUGUCCCCUAAACAGGGAGAAUAUAAAUGCAGCACACAUUAUCGUAGUAGCAGAUAUUCAUCUCCACCCACAAACUCAAAUGUGCCAGAAUUAUACCAUUGGCAUUUUCUCAUUUCCUUUAAAUCAACUUCAUUUUUUUUUUCUCGAAGCUCCCAUCCCACCUGUCUGGGGCAGAAUUUCAGUUUAGACAUUAUUAGAGCCUGAAUCUGUCCAGAAUCUGGGUUGGAGCCCAGAACCAGGAGAAGGUCUUCUAAUCUCUCGUUUGUCCCAGUUCAUCCUGAGUUCCUGUGUUGCCCAAACCAAAGUCCAGAUCUCCUUGACUUCCCUGACAUGUAUGCGCUCAGUGCCUCAGUGGUCCAGCAUCCCAGACACUAUGUGGCCAUCCUGUGUGAGGCUUUUCCUACGUGGAGGUAUUCAGGAAGUCAAGAUUAGAAGUUAAUGGUGGAUAAGAAUACAAUCAAUGAUUAUUAGUAAAGUUUGGUGUCACUCCCUUGAUUACUGCUAAGGAACUGUCAGUUUUACACAGAUUGCUUUGGCAACAUCAGUGCAAAUGUCAACAUAGUGACAAUCUAGGGGCAGACCUCAGUGAUAUUAAUGUUGCUAAGGGAUACUUUUAAGGAAACAAAUUCCAUGACACCUAAGAAUCUAAGUUCACACCAAUGAUGAGGAGUCUGAAAAUAAGCUAUAUGAUGUUAAAGCAGAGAAACCCAAAGUUGAUUAGGACGGGAUAAGCUCAAGCCCAACAAACAACAACAAACCUUAAGAACCUUUAACCCAACAUCUAAACCUGGAUUCAAUUCUCCCACUUGCUUUUCUGCUCUAUUUUUUAUCCAUGUGUCGUAAGAACUAUAAUUAUGUAGUUAUAUCAUAUUAUUGUCACCUAAUCUAAUUAGAGUGGUCAAUCUAAACAUGAAAGUAGCAGGAAUAGACUCCUUAAGUUAAGACAUGACUUUCUUUGUGCACAAAACACAUAUGGCCAUUCCACAAAGAAUUAAGGUUGAAUUUCUUGAGGAUGCUGUACUUUAAUAGUUACCAAAUAUUGUGUAAAAGUCCCACUAAGAAAUUAGAUUUUACACCCUGGGUCGCUGGGAAAUAGGAAUAAUAACAACAAUACUUUCUGUGUGUAGCAAAGCAACUAUAUGUCAGCCAGUUAGAUUAUCAUCCCAGCUCAGAAUAUUAGGGAUAGAAUAGCUUAUUAUUAAUCCCAUUAUGCAGAAGGGAACACUGAGAAAUUAUGUGAUUUGCCCAUGGUCAUAUAUUAUUAGGUGGAAGAAAUGGGACCAUAACUCAGGCUAUUGUCUAAAAAGCCUUUAAUCCUUUCUGUUCUCUGUUUAGUACAUUUUGAUUCUGUUAAAUUAUAUUGUUUUUAUUUUCCCAUUAGCUCAAGGACAACAUCUUAGUAGAACAUCUGGAUUUAAUAUUCUUUCCACAAACUCUUCAGAGUCUAUUCAUUUGAAUGAAGGGCUUUUGUCAACAGUUAACCCUUCAGACUGCCUGUCAGACAAACAAAAAAGCAAGACCAACUGUACAGAUUUAAAAUACAUUUUAUAGUAGUCAGGGAAUUGAAUUUACUUUCUAAUUCUGUGGAAUGAAUUAUUUAUAGUCAAGAUAGACUGCUAGAUCAAACUUAUCUGUCUUUAAGCACCAGACAUUUCCAGAAUCCAGAAGAAGGGGUCAGUCACUGAGAUGGUUGGUUUAUGUCGUAAUCCUGACCAGGCAUCGUUAGAAUGGAGAAGAUUUAGGAAGUCUGGGAUUCCAACAUAUUUGCAGGACCAGGCAAAGACCUGGAGUCUGAGCAUAGUAAGUAGGCCAAGGGAAUAUCAUCCUUCUGAUGAGAGGGAGGGCAGAGGACAACACAGGAAUUCUAAGAUAGGUCUACAAUACGGGCCCUGCUCACAGGGGAUGGGACAGCAAGAUGUGUGGCACAAUAGGAAAAGGGCUCAAGACAGAGAUCUUGGCUUGAAGUUACAUUCUAUUAUACGACAUAGCCAGUAGGUGUUUGAACCAAAAUUACAAUGUAGGCAAUCCAGCUCCAGAGUCCCGAGGCACUUAAGGUGUCUUUGGUAAGGACAUUUAGAGAAGCACCGAUUGAGUCCUACAGGGGAACAGAAGGAGGGAGAGAGGCAGACAGAUACCACUCUGACCAAAGGGAAUAAGGAAAGCUUCAGAGAAUAAGGAAGGCUUCACAGAGAGGUGCAUUUGAACAGGCUUUGAUAUUGGGGAAAAUUCUGAUAGCCAGGAAAUAGAAUGUGAGUGAUGGAAAAACCCACCUAAGAUGGCUUAGGCAGAACAAAAGUGUUCUGACGUACGUGUCUGAAAAAUCUAGUCAUAGUUCUGGCUUUCAGCUCAGCUUGAUCAGGGCUCCUGUUGGCAUUGUAGGGGAGGAAAAGAAAAUUUUUCUCUGUACUUUCCUACCUCCUAUGUUCUCUGGCUGGAGCCCUACAAAUUAGGCUGACAAAAAGCAGAUUAACAAGAAAAAAAACAAAAACAAAAACCAAUUAACAUGUGCAGCAUGCAUGUACAUAGGAGAAACUCCGUGACAAGUAACUCAAAGUGGUGGUUAGAACUUGGGGCUUAUAUAGCAUCUUAACAAAGAAGAAUAAAUGUGUACAGAAGUGAUAAGAGAAAGGAAAGCGUUUUAGGCUUCGAGGGCAGCCAACGGUGGGAAGGUAAAUCUAUGGGGGAAAUUAACAGAGGAAGAUUUGUUCGUGCUGGUUCAUCUUGGUGCCAACUUCCCAUCUACCUCAUUGCCAUAAAACUUCCCCAGGAGAGGACAGUCCUCAUUUCUCAGAAGUUUCUGCUUUUAGUCCGAUGAUGGGCGUUCCAAGAAGGCUUCUUUCUGCAUCUGUUGAUUCUCAUUUUCCUCCAACUCAAAAUGAUCCCUUUACCAAAGUGACAUAUUUCGGGAUGCAGUGUUUGGAUUUCCUGCGGCACCUUCAGGACCUGGUUUCUCUAAGCUCUGUCUCCAGGACUGUAUUUGUAACUACUGGCCCGGACUUUUUUCUGUGUGAAGGAGCUUACGUUUGAUCCUGAGCAGAGACGUUUUUGUGUGGAGAUAAUACAUCAGUUGCCUGUAUGCUGGCAUGUCUGUAUUUAGGCGUCUGAAUUUCCCCUCAUACUGGCUCUAGCAUCAUGCUACUUUAGCCUAUACGACUGUGUGGGUACAUGGGGACUGAAUCUGUAUGACCAGGAAUCAGUCUACAAAUGGCUCACCAAUGGAGAAUGACUUCAGAAUUCCUAUCCCCCAAGAGGAAGCAUAUUUACAGCCAUUCAGUGGGAAACCAAAGGACAUGUGGCUGAAUUGUGGAGGUCUUCGAGUAGGAAGGCAGACCAAGUAAUCAACACUUGGGAUAAAUUUGCAGUUAAAGCAAAAGAGCCAAUUGUUUGAGAUUUGAGUUUCAGGGGUUGAAGUUAAGCUUUGUGAAUUUAGAUUUGUUGAGUUAAAACCAAACAAAAUAAAACAAAACAACCUGUUUUGUAUGGCCAGAUUCUACUAGUUUCUCUGUGCUCAUUUUGCACACAAUGAUUACCUAAUAAAAGCCGAUUAGUCCACCCUAAAGAGUCUUGAUGGCCCUAAUUGUUCUCCAGCAGCAGAGCAGUUUCUGUCUCAUUUACAGAGAGGAGCACCAAUCUACCAAAAUGUUCUCAUUCCACAAACAAGGAGCCACUUAAAUGCCCAAGGACUCUACCAAGUGCCAAUGCAAACCAAGGAGGAAGAAAUGACUGGUCACUAUGGAACCACAGUGACGAGUGACUUGGAGGCUUCCUUCAGAAUUUCAGCACUUGCUUCCCUUCUUCCUAUAAUAGAAGUCUGCCAUCUGACACUCGAUGAUGAACUCCUUUUAACAAUAACCAGAGUCCAGUGCCCAGCUCCUGAGCAGUUUUCUCCCUCAUCUAAUGGUUAGAAUUGGAAUUUAUUUGUCAUCCUGGCUGUUUCAGGAUCUCUGCCACUGCUGUGUCCACAGAGUUCCAGCGAGGUUGAUGGCUGAGGGGGCUGAUUCGAGACUCGUGAAACCCGGAUUUCCAGAACUGAUUCCCAGUUCGACCACUUACCGUCUCUGUAAACGUGGCAAGUACUGUACUUCUCCAAACCUCAGUUUACCCAAAUAUAAAAUGGACAUCACCAGAGUACCCAAUUUAUGGAGUAUCGUGUGAGAGUUAUUAAACACUACGAUGUGGAUAAUAAUAUGCCACCCAAAAUACGGCAUUUUGGCAGAAGGGUUAUUUUGAACUAAAGGAAGUGAGAAACCAUAGACGCAGAACAAAGCUUUCUACCUUCGCCCUGCCUUGCCUCAAAGCACAGCGUGAAUUUCCCUUUGCGCUGGCCUCCCCCCUGCUCCUCGCUCUAAUACCAGGAAGGGCAGAAUGACAAUCAUCGGAGACAACUCAAGACUCUUAUCAACCUAGAGAUGGCACUGAGAGGAAUCUGCAUUUUAAACCUGCCUCAAAUGAACAACCCUUAUCUUCCCUUAGUUUCCCACAUAUAUUUAACUUCCCACAAGCUCAGAAGCUCAGAUUCUUUUUCUUUUGUCGCAUCCCGUCUCCACAUUUAUCACUCAUCGUUAAAAUAGUACGUAAGCCUUCCGGCCUCUUUGGACUUUUCACUUCAUUCCUGUCAGACUUGCCAUAGUCAUAUGAAAUAAACCUUUUUCUCCUGCCAAUCUGCCUCUUAUCGCUCUAUUUUUCAGGGCCUCUGCCCCUCAACUUAAGAGGGUAAAUGAAAAACUGUUUUAUUUUCUGGCCCCAACAAAUAUCACAGAUUCAAAAGCCUUGCUUAUAUCCUAGCACACCACACGCCCAACUAAUGCUGGUGUUUUCUUCAGACUCAAGAAAUGCAAAACAGGGGCGCCUGGGUGGCUCAGUCGGUUAAGUGUCCGACUUCGGCUCAGGUCAUGAUCUCACGGUCCGUGAGUUUGAGCCCCGCGUCGGGCUCUGUGCUGACAGCUCAGAGCCUGGAGCCUGUUUCCGAUUCUGUGUCUCCCUCUCUCUCUGACCCUUUCCUGUUCAUGCUCUGUCUCUCUCUGUCUCAAAAAUAAAUAAACGUUAAAAAAAAUUAAAAAAAAAAAAAGAAGAAAUGCAAAACAUUGGACGUUACAAACAUUCUCGAUUCAUUUCUGGCAAACUCCGCUUCUUCCUAAAGGUGGUUCCCAGUGAGCCUCAACAGCCUCUGAAGCCACUUAUUAUUAUCCUUUUCACAACGUUAUUCAUAUUUAACACUUACUGGGAGCUCACUGUGUGCCAAGCCACCAAUGCGAGCUAAGCACUAUUACUAUCCCUGUUUUCCAGAUGCGGAAUCCAAGGCUCCAGGAUGCAAAAUAAUGGUUACAUGGCCUGAGUGGCUGAUUAUUGUGUGACGCUACCUCCCUCAGGAUGAGGUUGAGGAUGGAGAGUAGAAGAAAGGAGGUGAAAGAUAAGGAUUCUUAGAAAUGAUCUCUUGCUAAACAGUGCCUUGCAUGUGGCCGAUACUUAGAUACUUGCUGAAUGAAUGGACGAUUGACCAGAUAUAAAAUUGAGUGAGCAGCCAAACAGGCCAGUCCUCCUGACCACAGCUCUUCAGCCGUUUCGAUAUUAGCAGAAAGGGCCAACUCCUCCACCCACCCAGAACUUUAUAAAUAUUGAUUUCCCAUCCAUUUACCUUUAAGGCAUCUUCUCUCGGGUAAUCACAUCACAUUGCUCUGUCUGUCACAUUGUGUUUUACAUUUUUCUCUUCUCUUCCUCCUCCCCCUGUAUAAUCUAGAGGACAGACCAGCUGGCUACGUAGAUUAAAAUCCUUUUCUGCCCCUCUCUUAGCGCAGCUCCGUGGCUUGGUUCUAUUAGCCAGACCGAAUGGAGUGUUUUUGAAACAGCAGUGAAAUCUCUUGGAACAAAAUGAGAUCGCUCCUGCAACCAUUCUGCCCCAAAGCAUAUUUAUAAGCAAUGGCAAGGAAAGGAGAAGGAGGAAGACACAGCCAUAAGGGGCUUGCUGGCAAAACACGGGUUAUACGCCAGGUGCCUUGCCUGAAACUUGAAGACUGGGGCGAGAUUGCUCCAAACAAAAGUAGCGAAGUUCAGAGCCAGAGAAUUCUCUGGACACAAAGGCUUUGCAAUAGAGAACUGUAUAAUGCGGCCGACAGGUCAGCUGCAAACCGAUGCCCCUGCCCCGCAGGCCAGGGUAACUAGAUUCCUUACCGUCCUUGGGGACAGAGAUGCCCACAGCACUAACUUCAGCCAGGAAACAGAAACCAGCAAGCUGCAAGGGUCGGGAGCACCGUCUCCUUGAGAGAUUAGCCAAGCACCAGUUGGUUUGCAUAAGGCAUGGAGAGUUGCCUGGGAGGACUUUGUCCUCAAGAUCCUUCUGCAUCCAAGAGCACAGGAGCUAAGAUCAUCCCCUGAUCCAACUGGCAUGAGUUCAAUCAAGGCCGACUCGUCGCAAGAGGAGGCUGCCAAAACAGAGCUGCCUUAGCCCAGGGUCCACGGAGGACAAGCACUGGCAUCAGCAGACCCGGCACCUCUGGUGGCCGUGUUGGCAGACAAAGCCCUCAACCCCUCUGCCAAGGCACCGACACUGAUGGACAGUAACAGCAGUAGCUUCAGCAGCUCCUUGUGGCAUCUUUGAACAAAGACCAUAUGAGGACACAGCAAGGAGACAAUUUUCUGCACCUCCAAGACAGAAGCCCCAGCAGACACUGAGCCUGCAGGACUUCCAGACCCCAGCACUGUGAGAAAUAAGCCACCCGGUCUUAAGUUCUGGAAAGCAGCCACCUUGAAUUAAGACAUGUCAUAUAGUGGAAAGGGAUGAAAUUUAGCACCAGAAAACCUGUGUCAACUCUUGUCCUUGCUUACCCUCUUUGUGUCUCAGUUUCCUUAUCUAUAGAAUGGGGAACUAGAAGUCCCUUCACUCCCCAUAUCACAAGGUCAUGGUGAGAAUCCAGAGAGAUGAGGUUUGUAAACUGCCAACAGAAUUGCUCUUCUGUUGGAGGUCUGUAAUGAUGUUUUGCUAGGAAUCUGCCACUAAAAUUGAAAUCCAAAAAUUGCUUAGGCAAAAGAAGUAAAAAUAUGGGAAAUGGGAAAAGAGGUAGGUUAAGAGCUCUACUUUUUUUUUUUUUUUUAAGUGCUGGAGGGUUGAACUCAUGCAAGCAAACUGUUUUAAGUGAAUUUUUAUGGUUUGGUUGUCUAAAAAACAAUCUGACAUAGCUUUCAAAAUCUUGUUUAUUAGAACUCAAAAUUCUUGUAAUUCUACUUGUUUAUGUUAUGUGAUUAUUUUAUAUUUUAUAGUGUUUAUAUCUUAUAUUAUAUGGCAUUUUCUAUGACACUGAUAUACAGAAUCUGACAAAUUGGCAAAUAAUUAGUUAUAUGAAAAUAUAUACUGGAUAUGAAAUACAGUAACUAAGAUAUAAAUGACCUGAGGUUAAAAAUGGUACCUGUUUUUCAGGAUUGAACUUAUCCUAUGUUAGCACAAAUGGCACCUGGUGGCAGUAGGUGAUACUUAAGCCCAGCUCUAAUGGACUUAUUUUCUGACUUUUUAGAAAUAUAUAUAUUUUUUUCUUUUAGAGCAGAUUUAGAUUUAUAGAAAAAUAGUGAAGCUAGGACACAGAGUUCCUAUAAACUCCAUACCUAGUUCCCUCUAUUGUUAAUGUCUGUCACAACAAAUGAACCAACAUGGAUACAUUAUUAUUAACUAGAGUCCAUACUUUAUUCAAAAGUCCUUAGUUUUCAUCUGUUGCUCCUUUUUGGUUCCAGGGUUCCAUCCAGGACUCCACGGUGCAUUCAGCUGUCAUGUUUCUUUUAAGCCCCUCUUGGCUUUGAUGGUUUCCCAGACUUUCCUUGUUUUUGAUAACCUUGAUGAUUUUAAGGAGUAUUCGUCAGGUAUUUUGCAGAAUAGCACUCUGUUUGGUUUGUCUGAUGUUUUGCUCAUCGUUGGACUGAGGUUAUGAGCUUUGGGGAGGAAGAUUUAUAGACACUACUUAAAUUUGGGGAUAUUCCAGUAGAGAGUCAGACAGUUCUCUGGCACAAGGAAAAAUCUUUUUGGCCUGAAGCAGCAUGGUCCACGGUGGAUAUCUCACAAACUGGGAAAGUGCUGAAAAUACAAAGAGAAUCUUCCAGCAAAGUUUAGUAGGCUUCACUAAUCCUAGGAUGCCACAGAUUGCCACAGGUCUCUUCAUUAUGUUAAAUCCUUUCUUUCUGAGGGUUUUCAACACAGUCUCCUGUUGUAUGCUUUUUCUGUUUUGUUUUUUGUUUUGUUUUGUUUUGUUGGGGGGAAAGACUUUCAGUUUUGUAAUAGAAUUUAACUUGAAAACAGUGUUUAUUUGAGAGAAAUCCUCUUAUAGGCAAUGUCAGUGAACUACCUUAGAUAUCUGAAACUCCAUGUUAUCCCAAACAUAAAUGCAUGAAUGAGAACAUGGGGUCUAUGUGCUGGAAAGAACUCUGUAACCCUGCUUCUCACAAACAUUCCUUCCAGUGGAAGGGUCAAAUUAAUGAAGUCUCUCCCACACCACGAACCUGGGACAUGAUUUAAAAAUGGAAUGGAAAAUACAGUCUCUAGACGCAGGUCAUACCGGGACAGGCUGAUAGUAUACAACCCAGGACAACCAAGUCUGAAUUUGAAUCCAAGAAAUUGCAGGGCUCCUGAAAUACUCCUCCCAAGAAUUAACUACUCUAUUUAAUUUUCUACAAGGGCUAUGCUGUUAGUAAAAGGUAAAACAAUUUUCCAAAUAUAGAAAAAAAUAUAAACAUUAUGUAACACACAUGCAUAUGCUCUGUCUGUAGCUUGGUUUUUAUAGUCGACAAACAUGCCUUGAUGUAUGUGUGAGUGUUUUGUGACUCAAUCUCCUUAUAAUCCCACUGUAAUCAUUGUAAUGAUUCUGUUCUGUGCAGUUGAAACAAUAAUAGCUUAUACUUAUUCAUAGCCUAUCUGUGCUUUACAUAUUUUAUCUCAUUUAAUCCUAUCUAGAUACUCAUUGUCCUCUUCUAUAAAGAAGGAAAUCAAGACUUAGAGACGUUAAGUAUCCUGUCUAAGGGUACACAGAGAAAAGUCAGGAUUUGAAUUCAAGGCAAGGGCUGUUUGGAUCUGAAGUCUCAGGUCCUACUGGGCUAAACUACCUCUGCGUCACUGAGUUUAUUUCAAAAUGCCUUCUGUGAGAGCAAGGACCGUAUCUCUUCUUAAUAGAUGGGGUCUCACAAUUCCAUUCAUAUGGCACAGGUGUAGUAAUAUUUGAAAACAAGGAAGAGGAGGAUGUAUUAUUACUACUGAUUAUCACUGUCAAGGUAAAAAAAAAACAACACAACUCUUAUCUCCUAAUUGACUCCCAGGCCCAUAGGAAGAUAAGAGAAGCCCAGCCACUCAGCAGCCUUGUCACCCAGAACUAGAGCUACAGUGGCUCAAAUAUCCAUGUCCUAAAAUACAGAAAAUUUGAGGUACAGGAAGGCCAACAGAUCAGGAGAUGAUUGCCAUUGAGAAGAUAGUUUGUGAUAGUUCCCAAGAGAAGGGGACAUGCCACAUGUUGGGGGCCACACUGGGAAGCACCAGGGUCAGUCAGGAGGCAGAGGAAGUGGGGGCGAACUGUGGGCAAGAGCCUUUGUUUUGGUUUCUAUGGGAAGGAAGAAGCGAGGCAGGGUGGACAGUCUGGGGACUGGCUCAUGUGAAUAACUUCAGCAGGCUCUGGGGCUGUGCCUAGCUGUCUGGUACCUAGCCCUGGCAUGGUUAGGGCAGGUGGAGUGUGAGAGCCCAAUAAAGGAGGUGGGUUGCAGUGUGGACUCUGGACUGUUUGGCUUGUAUUUGAAAAGCACUCACGGACAAGUUGUUUACUAUUUCUAGGAAUUGGCUAACCUUAGGAGGUAGAGUACCCUUAAGGUCAGUAAGACCCCCAAAUGUCAAAAUGUUUGAAUACAGAAAAUAAAAAACAUGGUUGAUAGACUCCAGCUAAGAGGCUUUCUGGCCAUUCUAAAUUGGGAAAGGCAUAUGAAUGUACCCAUAAGCCAGGCAGAAGUACCCAAGAGCUAAUUUAGCUGAAAACAAUAGAGAUGGGUCAUAAUGCCGUCAUAUGUAGAGGGAGAAGAAAACAAAACCAAUGAAAACUGGAAAAUAACCUGGGCCUAGAUUAUCUGGGUUACCUUAAAAAACUUGUCACAAGUUAGUGCUUCAUAAGAGAGCACACAAAACUUAGUGUCCAUCAGGCAUUAGGCAUUAGAGGGUAGAAUUGCGACUAUUUCUCUUAUCCAAAUCAUUAACAAGCAACAUUCUGCACUCUAGUAUAUGUCGUUUUUCUCUCUCUCUCCCUCCCUCCCUUCCACCUUCCUUCCCUUCUUCUCCCUCUCUUCCAUAAACACAUAGCAAUAGUUUGCCUAAAUGUGAGCUCAUCUGUGAGACACUACCCAUCCGUCCCCCUAACACACACCAUAUCACACACUGUUAAGAGUCUGUGUUUAGUGGGCCCACGUUGGCAGAAACGGGCCUUUUUAUUUUUCUCGAAAGCUACAGUAAGAAAUACAUAACACAAAGUAGACUCUGACCUGUGUCUUUGGCCUCACAGAUUCCUUAAUACCAGAAGCAGUAUUUUCAAGCCCAACAGUGCUGUUUACUCCAGGAAGAGUUUUCUUCAUAAUCACGGGAAAAUCAAAAACCACACUAUCUCAAGUUGCGGCAAACACUUUAUUCUCCUCAUUAACGUCUCAAAACUGUCAGAAGCCAAAGCUUGAAAAAGCCCUAUGGCAAUAAAUGUGAAUGUUUUACAAAGAGAAGAAAGAGAUUGCAAGAAGUUAUGUUUCUGUUCGCCGUAUUUUUGAGUAUUUUUCCUUGGCGAAGUCCUCAACCAAAUUCGAAUACAUCAGACACAGUGCCGAUAGAAGUAAAAGAAGUAAUCUGUAAAGAAUAUCCCAGCAAAAUAAGGGUCCGUUGAACAGUCAGCUAAAUCCUGUCAGAACAGAAGAAAAAAGAAGAAUGACUAAUGUAAAAAUGAGUUAAAGUAAUUGACUGACUGAAUUGAAUUGAUCGAUGGAUUGAUUUAAUGGUCUGUUUCUUUCUCACCGGAAAAGAAAAAGAAAAAGGGGGAAAAAAAAGAAAGAAAGCUUACCGGUGCAGCUACACGGAAGUGGUAUGUGCUAUCAAAGAAUGGGGCUACAGGGAGGCUCCAAAUGUGCUGAUAGCCCUAAAUAAUGAAUGAAAGGGAGAUCCAUUCCAUAACCACAUUUUACUCUCAGUUGGAAAGACUGUAGUCUGAGAAAGCAUUUCCUUGACUACUCUAGGAAAGGUAUCCAUGACAAUAGCUUUUGACAGGAGUCGCUAAAACAGUCUGCAGUUUCUGAAGGACACAUGGAGGAUGCUGAGCAAAGCCCUGUGACCAGGGUCAGCCAGCAAGGAGAAACAGCGGCAUUUGGCUCGCGGCAUCCCUCUCCUGGUGGGGAACAGAGGCUGUGCCGCAAUUCUAGACACACUUCUUCUGGAACAGGGAGGGAAUGCCCAGGGGCUGGAAAACAUUACCUGUGUCAUCUCCUGGGAGACCUCUUGGUGGCUUUGUAUCCCUUUGGCUUCCCUUUUACUAUGGAAACAUAUAUUUCCGAGGGUGAAAUUGCAUUGGAAGACUAUCAAUGGUUCUGUUGUGCUUCAAGAGACAAAGGAGAGAAAGGGCAAAUGGAAAGCAGUUACCAGCUCCACUAGGCGAUACCUUGAUAAAAAGAGGUACGAAUGGGAACGUAACUUGGAAAUCUAUUCAAAGUUUCUUGCACGCAUUUUAUUACACAAAGCUCAUCAAUGCCAGUAUGCCCGUUCCCAUCUCAUUAUUACAGAAAGAAACUCAGUCUCAGAUGAUUACUGUCAUGGACUUAAUGUUUGUGUUCCCCUCCUCCAAAUCCAUAUGCUGAAAUCCAACUUCCAAUGUGAUGUGUUAGGCAGUAGAGUCUAUGGGAAGUGAUUAGGUCUUGAGCAUGGAGCCUUCAUGGGUGGGAUUACUGAUCUUAUCGAAAGGACCUCAGAGAGCUCUCUUGUUCCUUUGCUAUAUGGACACAGUGAGGAGAUGGCCUUCUAUGAAACAGGAAGCAGACCCUCACCAGAUGCCAAAUCUGCCAGUGCCUUGAUAUGGGACUUCCCAACCUCCAGAAGGGUGGAAAAUAAAUGUUUGUUAAGGCACUCAGUCUAUGGUAUUUCUGUUAUAGCAGCCUGAAUUGACCAAAACAACUACUGGGGUAGCAUAUGAUAGAGUCCCUAAGAUCUAAUCUCAUGACUUAAAUCAUCCUAGCAUCAGAAGUUCUUAUCCCCACAGAUUAGAAAAUACUUUUUGAAGAUAUCCAUUCUCUUUUCUCUGGCAACUGAAUUUGCAUCUACCUGAAGUUUCCAGGAUUUCAGAUUCUACACACCCCUGAUCUGAGGAGAUACUGUUUGAAGCAGCAAGGUGCACAAACACAGGAAGGGAUGUGGGGGUGAGCCCCAUUAGAAUUUACCUCCCUUAAAAGCUAUCAGAGUAGAAGUCCUGCCAGAAAGAAUGACUCUUCUCUGGAGGUUAGCCCAUUAAUUAUCAUCAAGAGGCUGAGAUCCAUCUGUCCUUGGAAAUGAUCUUAUUGCACAAGUGGGACAACCUACAAUCUCAGUUGAGUAUGUGUGUUAUUUUUAAAUCACACAUAUUGGACAAAUGGCUCUUCACCUAAAAAGCCUGAUUUAGUGGCUCAAGAUGGUUUUCUGCCACUUCAGGGGACAUACCGUGUCAGCUUACUUCCUGCCAUUGAAGCUAGGAAUGAAGGAGGAAAUGCUAUUCCAGGCUACUCAGGGAGUGCUAGAAAACAGUACAUUUAGCUCUUGCUCUGCAUGAAAUGUGAUGGGCUCUGAGUCACGAAACACUUGCUGCUUGAAACAAACCUUUCCAAGGCAAGCCGUUGGGUUGAGUGUCAUGAACUCAUUGUAGAAGCAAAGUUGAUGAGGGAAGAAGUAUGAAGCCCAAGUGAAACAGAAGAAGGGACAGAUGGAGGAGGAGUAACAGAGCUGGGAAAGCAGAGAGGGAGCGUGGAGGACAGAGAAAAGGAAAAGAGAGGCAGAAAACAAAGGGGAGAAGAGAGGAAAUGUGGAGAGGGGGGAGAAAAGGAGAGACUAUAAUCAAGAGACACAAAAUAAAAACCAUCUAUCUUCCUGACGAGCAGCUCAUUGCAUAAUUUGAAUGAAGUGGGUCGAAAGUCUUAGAAGUACCAUAGUUAUUUUAAAUAUUUGGUACGAAUAGAUUAAAUUAGAGCUUUGUGAUUUUGAAGGAAAGGUACUGAUAAUAAAAGCUACAAUUGAGGCGCCUGGGUGGCUCAAGUUGGUUAAGUGUCCGGCUCUCGCUUUUGGCAGAGGUCAUGAUCUCACGCUUUUGUGAGUCUGAGCCCCACAUCUGUGAUGCCACCACAGAGCCUGCCUGGGAUUCUCUCUCUCUCCCUCUCUCUCUGCCCCUCCUCCGCUCACACUGUCUCUCUCUCAAACAAAAUAAAAUAACUUAGAAUUUUUAUAUAAAAAAAGAGCUAUCAUUUAUUAAGUGUCUCAUAUGUGCCAGGAAAGGGCAACGUUUUUACAUCUCUCAUCUCACUGGGAAGGCAGGAAAGUGAUGGUUUAAAGGAUGGGCUGAGUUUGAAACCCAACUCUACCAUUUACUGUCUGCGAGUUUCAGGACAAGUGUGUUUGACCUCCCUAGACCUAAGUGUUCCCAUCUGAAAAAUAUAAACUAGAAGAGAAAUACCGAACUCAGAGGGUUAUUGUGAGGAUUAUAUGACCCACCAUUAAAGUGUAGAGUGUGUGGCAUAGGCUCUGUGCUCAGCAAAUGGUAGUUACUAAUUUCACUAUUCUUAACAGCGGUUCCCACAGCAGCUCUACUUGUUCCGGUCUUAUUUCAAACUUGUUUUACAGACAAAAACAACUCAGGAUAAGUAGUUUCUCCAAGGUUACAGAAUUAGUAAGUGGCAGAGACAAAAUGUGAACCCUGGUCUGCCCAACUCCAAACUCUGACUCCUUGAACUCCCCUGGGGAGAGGGGCUGGUGUCGGCCUCAGCAUUGCUACCAGGGACUCGCCCAACUGCCCAGCCCCCCAACCCAGGGACUGUGCUAUUACUCUUGCUCCUACCCUAGUUCAAAGGGACACAGUCGGGGGGAGUCUGCAACUUGAGAGCAUCAAACCCAAGACUGCUCCCAUUUUACAGGUGCUGAGUGUGAAUCCUUAGGGUCUUUCCAUUCACUGGAGGAGCCUGGAAGAUCCCAGCCUUCAUUUUGAAAACUCCCUAGAGCUGGCCCACCUCUCAACCCAACCCAACUACCAUCCGCCGGCAUGGACUGAUAACUUCCCACCUUCUAACUUACUGAUCAACUGUGAAGAAGAGACAAACAGAGACACUAGGGGUGUGCAGAGACAAAAGACCUUGCAAGGACACAGCACAAAGGUGGUCAUCUGUGAGUCUAGGAGGGAGGCUUCAGAAGAAACCAGACCUCCUAACACCCUGAUUUUGCACUUCUGGCCUCCAGAAUUGUGAGCAAAUAAAUUUUGUGGUUUAAGUUGUCCAGUCUGUGGUAUUUUGUUAUGGCGGCCCUAGCAGAUCAGAUCACUGUGGCCCACAGUCCCCUCCUUUCCAGUGUCACAGCAUUACUACUGAACCAUCUAUAUGGUGAUUAAUUAGUGAUAGAUCUGUCUCCACAUCCAAAGCCUGUCAUCUCUGUUUUAUUAUUUAACUCGUAUGUAUUUUUGCCCUUUCUUGACAACUCCAGAAUAGGGCACCUCUAUUAAAAUUCUUUGAUUCCUCUGUAACUCCUACCAUAAUGUGAUCCACACAGGAAAAAAAGAACACUUAAAACUCAAGGUCAGGACUGUGCUGCAGCUGAAGAGACGAGUCAGAUCACUGGUGCAGGGCCAGAGCUCGCUUGUGAGGAAGGAAGUGGGGGAGUGGUUUUGACCCCAUCAUAGCCGAAAAGUCAUUUUAAAAGCAAUUUUGGAAAGGUAACUAUUCAGAUGAUUGUUGUUAAGGUUUUGGGGGAAAAAACCCCAGAUAUCCUUACAGUGAAUAGUGAAAGCAGUUAUUUAGUGGGUUGCUAAACAAGCUUUUAAAAAGAAUUUUAAAGUUUUUGCAUUUUUUAAUUUUGCUGAUUUUUCUCAAGUAUGUGUACUCUUUAUUGUAUUCCUUCAUUUGCAUUAAAUAAUGUUUAUAUCUCUCUACACAGUUUUGGGGAAAACACAGACAGUAACCUCAAUUAGGAAGAGACAUAAGUUAAUACAAUGUGUGCUACUCUCAGGAAGAAAAGAGAGACAAGAUCUAUUCAACUUUCUGUAUGGAAUUUCAGGAUAGAAAGCAAACCCAAGAGUGCACGUUACUUGGGGGCCAUCACUCCUAAGUAAAUCUGCCCUGGUUAGUACUUCUUACACUAGGCACACAGGCUUGUUUGCCUGUCAGCAAAACCAACCGUGAGCUUUUGGAACAUCACACACAUCCUGUGCACUGCCAUAGCCCCAGGCAAGGCAAUGCUGGGCUCUCCGCAGAUGCUCAACAAAUAUUUGUGGGAGGAUGGAAGGGAGAGAGGCAGGGAAAGAAGA